UACGGGGGGGGCAAGCGUUGUUCGGAAUUACUGGGCGUAAAGGGCUCGUAGGUGGUCAACUAAGUCGGACGUGAAAUCCCUCGGCUUAACCGGGGAACUGCGUCCGAUACUGGAUGACUUGAGUUCGGGAGAGGGAUGCAGAAUUCCAGGUGUAGCGGUGAAAUGCGUAGAUAUCUGGAGGAAUACCGGUGGCGAAGGCGGCAUCCUGGACCAUUACUGACGCUGAGGCGCGAAAGCUAGGGGAGCAAACGGG
rnacentral:rRNA from 1 species